rnacentral:rRNA from 1 species
GAUGAACGCUCGCGGCAGGCCUAAUACAUGCAAGUCGAACGGGAUCCAGAUCAAAGCUUGCUUUGGUUUGGUGAGAGUGGCGCACGGGUGCGUAACGCGUGAGCAACCUACCCUUGUCAGGGGGAUAGCCCGGCGAAAGUCGGAUUAAUACCGCAUGACAUCAUUGAGAGGCAUCUUUCGAUGAUCAAAGAUUUAUCGGACAAGGAUGGGCUCGCGUGACAUUAGCUAGUUGGUAAGGUGACGGCUUACCAAGGCUACGAUGUCUAGGGGCUCUGAGAGGAGAAUCCCCCACACUGGUACUGAGACACGGACCAGACUCCUACGGGAGGCAGCAGUAAGGAAUAUUGGUCAAUGGACGGAAGUCUGAACCAGCCAUGCCGCGUGCAGGAAGACGGCCCUAUGGGUUGUAAACUGCUUUUAUACGGGAACAAACGUCGGUACGUGUACCGGUCUGAGUGUACCGUAAGAAUAAGGAUCGGCUAACUCCGUG